rnacentral:lncRNA from 1 species
AAUUAUAUCUCGCAGCAGCGUGUUCACGUAUUGCUCACUGCGCCGGAGGUGGAGAUUCUCCCGUGUUGGCAGGAAACUAUUUCAUCACAACCAAGUUUUCAGAGAAAAAAUCGACUUUUUUUCGAAAGUUUUGCUCGUGAACGAUCACCUGUAUCCAGGUAUAAGCCGCUUGUAGCUGUUCAUGUAGAGCAGUCCCGUAGAGAGAAGCCUGUCCAAGCACUCGAAAGCAGCGUAACCAGUGUUGGUGCCUCCAAUGGUUGCUCCAAACGACGCUCUUGUGAUCACGUCCAAGGUUAGAGCCGCCAUCUCUCUGUGAGCAUCGAUUCUCGUCGUCUCUCUCGAGCUCCAUUUCCUGGCCAGAUCUUCUCCAGCACCAGACAUAUGCCGCAUCAAUCCCUGUAGAAGAAUCGGAGAAACAUUAGAAAAAUCGGAUUUUGUAUUCAUGGGUAUCACCUUCAAGUAUGCAAGCUUGAAUGCGGGAUUGAGAAUUUUGCGCUGCUGUCUCCAGAAAUCUCCGUCGGUGACAACAACACCUCUGCCAACAACGGCUCUGAGGAUCUGGCGAGACAAAUCGGCCUUGAUGUAGGAAGAGGAUCGAGACAUAAGAACUUGCUUCACGAGCUCGGUAUCAGCCACCAGGAUUCGAGUCGUGGAGCCAAGCUCGUGAACUGAGAUUCUCCCUGUAACAAUAUGGUGAUCGAUCAGAUGAAGGGAACUUCAAGAACCAGAAAAGACUUCUUUUUUCUUGUGUUGAGCAAACAACAAACAGAGAGGAGUGAUACCAUAAGUUUGCUGGAAUGUAGCAAGGUCCGGAAUAACCCUGAACUUGGUCGCGGCGUGGAAGCUGGUCUCAAACUUUGGCACCGAGUUGAAGAGCUUGUGAAUCUCGGGGAUGUUGCCGACGAUCAAUCGGAAUGGAGGCCCUGGAAUGCCCUGCUUGGCGUAGAAGCAGCGGAAUCUCCAGGCGUGCCACAGGCUCCUCGCAGCAGGAGCGAGCAGCCAAACAACCAAAAACACACCACAAGAACAUAGAAUCUUCCACAAGAAAUCUUCCAUAGCCAAAUAGUUAGAUUGUGGGAACUUAGGUUAGCAACCUUAUCUCAAAUGUAUGCCACUUGUCAUGGGCUAUGUUUGGUUGUAUAUAAAGAGAUUUCAUAACUUCUCAGUUUGUCAACUCAUUUGUACAUUUUAGCAGUGAAUUCCAACUACACAUUGUUUGUAGUGACCUCUUAUGCCAUUUAUGACUAGAUGAAAUAGAUCACUUUUCACUUGUCAUAUUUUCCACGUUGUGAGACUUUUCGUAGUACAUUCAAGAUCAAUUUGCCACCAUUAUUUUCUUUCAAAAAAGUUGGGAUAUGUCUGCAAAGAAGAACAGUGCUGUGAGAAUCACAAAAAAUCAUUUCAUCAAUCAAUCAUGCAGCUACUUAAAACUGAGAAACCUUCAAGCUAAGUUAAAUCACCCAAAUCCCUCCAUCACAGAAAGAUGGUCUCCAAUUCAGCCCCGUAUUCCUCUUCGUCAAAAGCCUCCUGGAGCCUCCGCAGCUCGUCUGCUCUCUUCUGCUCUUCUUGAACUUUCAUCCUCGCGAAAGCUUCCUCUUGGUCUUUCCGGGCUUUCGCCUCGUCAGCCACCUCGUCCGGAGCUUUGGUCGGUUGAUCCCUGCCGGACGGAGCAACCUUGGACGUAACCUCCCUCGCCAGCUCCUUGAUCUUGGGAGUGACCACGGAGACGGUCUCCUUGAUCUUGGGAAGAACGGCGGGAGGAGGAGGAGUUUCCUUCAACACCGCGUCCUUGAAAGUCUUUGGAGCUUCCUUGACGGCCUCUAUAACUUUGGCUACACCACUUAGAGCUUCCACCGCUGUUGAAGGCUGCUGAGCUUCCUCUGGAGGUGGCGGUGGCGGUGGCGGUGGCGAUGGAGGCGAAACUUUGAACGUUGGAACUGGCUUCAAGCCUGGAGCUUGAGUUUGAGUCGAUGGAGGAGGCUGCGGAGCUGGAGCUGACGCUGUUCUAGCGUAGUCAGGCCUGGAGACGACUGGAUCCGGAGCCGAUGGUGCCUUCAUCAGACGAUGGCUCGGUUUGAUCUCGUCUUUUCUGCCUCCCAUGAUCUCGACCUUGAGGCUUUCGGAGUGAACGUGUUUGGCUGCCGCUGUCGUCGGUGGAGCACCAGGCAUUUCCGCAGGAGGAGACGGUAGAAUUCUACCUGCAGUGCCUGCCGAGGUUGCUCCUUUGGAGAUGGCCUCCGAAAGAUCUGUGGUUCCUCGAGUUAUGAUGUCCGAGAGGUCCGUCGCUGUUGCUCCCUCGGUUGUGUACGCGGCAGCGAUUCCCUCUGUUAGUGAGGCCGGAGGCGUCUUGUAUUUACGGUACUUUGCGUAGAGGCCGAGCUGGAGUGCACCUAGAAGCACUCCCAGUCCGUUUGGAAUCUAAACGAAAAACGAUACGAAAUGUUAGCUCCAGAUGGAGUUAACGCUCGAAGAUACUCACGAUAAUGAACUUGUCUUGCUUGAGAAUACCAUACAAUGCCCAGAUUGUAGCUUUGUCAACACAACGAGAGCAUGAAAGGCAUGUAUUCCACGCUCUUGGUUUCGAUCACCAUUUUCUGGAGAGGAGAAAGAGAAGUGAAGUGAGUGAGAUCCACAAGACCGAGAGAAAAUCUGGAGAUCGUGCGAAGCGACGUCCAGAUUUCAGUAGCGGUCUUGGUGAGAUCAAUCAGCGGCAAGAAUUCAUCGCUCAAUCCCAAGCCAAUGACGGUGAUGGCUUGCUGAUUGCGAAAAUCCCAAUCUGAUUGUAGCGUCUGCUCAGCGGGACGAGGCUCAGUCCUAUCAACGAUGUUCCACGCUCGUUUCGCAGAGAGGAUCAGCCUGAUUCUUGUCGCCCAUGUGAAGAAAUUCGUGCCACUGAAUUUCUCCACCUUCUCUGUGGAAGCCACGAGAAAUUGAGCAGCAGCCGGUGGCGGCGGCGGCGGCAGCAGCGGUGGUGGUGGGGGCGGCGGAGGUGGUGGUGGGGUUGAAGCGGCCAUGACAGCAACGUCAAAUCAACCAACCAGGAUCGUCCCCGAAAAAAAGAAAAAAUAAAGAAAAGAGACACACAUGAAAGUAGGCCCGAAAGGAAGAAAAGGAAAAGAGAAACAACCACAGCCAUGGUCUUUGAAUCUUUGCUUCUCUUUUCUCUUUGUAUAAUGUGAAGAAAAAUCAUGAAGAAGCACUCACCAAGACAGAGAUACGCAAGCCAUCCCUCUCCUUCAAUCGCCCAACAGAUGGAUAUAGGGCAACCACAAGUAUAAACCUUCUCAAAACCUUAAAGCUUGGCAAAUCGUUCCAGAUAAAGUUUUCCAGAUCUUUUUCUACAGCUUCUUCACAAGUAGAGGAGCACCAUAUACUGGUUUCAUACUGACAGGACUUCCGGGAGCGUGGACGUAAUCCUCAGCGAGCGUGAAGGAAAACUUGGCGAGCAGCAGCGAGAGGAGCAGCCUUGCCUCGAUCAAUGCAAAGUUCAUGCCAAGACACAUCCGCGGCCCCGCUCCGAAAGCCACGAACUCGGAUAUGUCCUUGGUUUUCUUGUUGAUGAAACGCUCGGGAUUAAACUCGGAGACAUCGUCCCCCCAAUCUUCUUUGCUUUGGAGCAGCAGAGCCAGCGGACACAAGACUAGAGUUCCCGGAAGUAUGGAGAACUCCCCGAUUUCGUGGGCUUGAUGGCACUGUCUCGUCACGGUCGAAACCGGAGGGAAGAGUCGAAGAACCUCGUGGAUGAUCCAGCCAACCUUCAGAUCAAACAGGAGAUUUAGUAAAAUGGAGCUGCAAGAACGCUAUAGAGAACUUACAACUUCGAGGCUUGAGAGAUCUUCGGCACUUAGAUCACGACCUCCACACCGUUUGUGCGCUGCGAAGAUCUCGUCCCUGGCACGCUGCUGCCACUCCUGGUGGACCGAGAGCAUGAUCAGUGACCAAGUGAGCGUCAAUGCGGUGGUGGAGUGACCCGCAAAGAAGAUUGUCUUGCACUCGUCCAAGAGCUGGUCCAUUGUCAUCGUUGGCGACUUGUUCUCCACGGCCUCGAGCAUCAUGUCGAGGAGAUCAUACACAGGCUUGCCGUUCUCGUCAGGAUUUCUGGUCUUUUCGGCCCAGCGGUUGCGAAUUAUAUCCCGCAGCAGCGUGUUCACGUAUUGCUCACUGCGCCUGAGGUGGAGAUUCUCCCGUGUUGGCAGGAAACUAUUUCAUCACAACCAAGUUUUCAGAGAAAAAAUCGACUUUUUUUCGAAAGUUUUGCUCGUGAACGAUCACCUGUAUCCAGGUAUAAGCCGCUUGUAGCUGUUCAGGUAGAGCAGUCCCGUAGAGAGAAGCCUGUCCAAGCACUCGAAAGCAGC